rnacentral:rRNA from 1 species
AUUGAACGCUGGCGGCAUGCCUUACACAUGCAAGUCGAACGGCAGCACGGGAGCAAUCCUGGUGGCGAGUGGCGAACGGGUGAGUAAAGUAUCGGAACGUGCCCAGUCGUGGGGGAUAACGUAGCGAAAGUUACGCUAAUACCGCAUACGAUCUACGGAUGAAAGCGGGGGAUCGCAAGACCUCGCGCGAUUGGAGCGGCUGAUAUCAGAUUAGGUAGUUGGUGGGGUAAAGGCUCACCAAGCCGACGAUCUGUAGCUGGUCUGAGAGGACGACCAGCCACCCUUGGACUGAGAAACAGCCAAGACUCCUACGGGAGGCAGCAGUGGGGAAUUUUGGACAAUGGGCGCAAGCCUGUUCCAGCCAUGCCGCGUGCAGGAUGAAGGCCUUCGGGUUGUAAGCUGCUUUUGUACGGAACGAAAAGGUUUGGCCUAAUAAGCUGGACCCAUGACGGUACCGUAAGAAUAGGCACCGGCUAACUACGUGCCAGCAGCCGCCGUAA